rnacentral:rRNA from 1 species
UACGAGGGGAGCAAGCGUUGUUCGGAUUUACUGGGCGUAAAGGGCGCGUAGGCGGCGCAACAAGUCACUUGUGAAAUCUCCGGGCUUAACCCGGAACGGUCAAGUGAAACUGUCGUGCUAGAGUACAGAAGGGGCAACUGGAAUUCUCGGUGUAGCGGUGAAAUGCGUAGAUAUCGAGAGGAACACCUGCGGCGAAGGCGGGUUGCUGGGCUGAUACUGACGCUGAUGCGCGAAAGCCAGGGGAGCGAACGGG